rnacentral:misc_RNA from 1 species
GUGAAUCAUCAAAUUUUUGAACGCAAAUUGCGCCGUUUUGGGAUGGCAUGUGUGUUUGAGUUCGACAUUUAACAAAUAAUGUACAUUUCGUGUGCACACGUUGAUGAGCUUUCCAAGAUUAUGCAUUAUUAUUUUUGGUGGCGCAUAAUAAACAGCGCGAUGCUUUUUGUCAGUUCUAGGUUAGUAAAAUUCUUUCGUACUUGUGUUGU